rnacentral:lncRNA from 1 species
GCGCCAGUUUUGUUUGGCGGAUCGCUCGCACUGGUCAGGGAAUGACGAUCCUUAUGUUGGGCACUUUUUUUUUGACGUGUUAUGUUUUUUUCGAGAGAGAGGAUUUUCACGUGUUGUGUGGGAUAGUUGGGUUGUGGUUGUCAUGAAAUCGCCUGAGUCUCACUGGGUCCUCCAGAAGGUUAAUGUAGUUCCCUCAAAAAAAAGAAGAAUGUUCAUGUAGUCCUUGAGAGCAAAUGAGCAAUGCGACCACCGUAACAGCCGGCCGAUUGGAGCUUGAAGGGACAGAGUCAUUGGAUCAAAUAGUAAUGUCCAAAGGAAUUAUUUAGGGUUAAUUUGAUAUAUGCAAUUUUUGUGAUUUUAAAAAUAUUUAUCUUUCAAAAAUGCCAUUGCAAAUCUACAGAAUUUUCAAAAAAAAAUAGCACUACAAUUGGUUGAAAGA